rnacentral:rRNA from 1 species
AGUGAACGCUGGCGGUAGGCCUAACACAUGCAAGUCGAACGGCAGCACAGUAAGAGCUUGCUCUUGCGGGUGGCGAGUGGCGGACGGGUGAGGAAUACAUCGGAAUCUACUUUUUCGUGGGGGAUAACGUAGGGAGACUUACGCUAAUACCGCAUACGACCUACGGGUGAAAGCAGGGGAUCUUCGGACCUUGCGCGAUUGAAUGAGCCGAUGUCGGAUUAGCUAGUUGGCGGGGUAAAGGCCCACCAAGGCGACGAUCCGUAGCUGGUCUGAGAGGAUGAUCAGCCACACUGGAACUGAGACACGGUCCAGACUCCUACGGGAGGCAGCAGUGGGGAAUAUUGGACAAUGGGCGCAAGCCUGAUCCAGCCAUACCGCGUGGGUGAAGAAGGCCUUCGGGUUGUAAAGCCCUUUUGUUGGGAAAGAAAAGCAGCAGGUUAAUACCCCGCUGUUCUGACGGUACCCAAAGAAUAAGCACCGGCUAACUUCGUG